rnacentral:rRNA from 1 species
AACGCGAAGAACCUUACCAGCCCUUGACAUGGGGAGUAUGGGCCUGAGAGAUCGGGUCCUUCAGUUCGGCUGGCUCCCGCACAGGUGCUGCAUGGCUGUCGUCAGCUCGUGUCGUGAGAUGUUGGGUUAAGUCCCGCAACGAGCGCAACCCUCGUCUUCAGUUGCCAUCACGUUUGGGUGGGCACUCUGAAGAAACUGCCGGUGACAAGCCGGAGGAAGGUGGGGAUGACGUCAAGUCCUCAUGGCCCUUACGGGCUGGGCUACACACGUGCUACAAUGGCGGUGACAGAGGGGAGCGACGGGGUGACCCUGAGCCAAUCCCGAAAAGCCGUCUCAGUUCGGAUUGCACUCUGCAACUCGAGUGCAUGAAGUCGGAAUCGCUAGUAAUCGCGGAUCAGCACGCCGCGGUGAAUACGUUCCCGGGCCUUGUA